UAGCUUGCUAGGUGGAUUAGUGGCGCACGGGUGAGUAACGCAUAGAUAACAUGCCCUUUAGUUUGGGAUAGCCACUAGAAAUGGUGAUUAAUACCAAAUACUACCCUACGGGGGAAAGAUUUAUCGCUAAAGGAUUGGUCUAUGUCCUAUCAGCUUGUUGGUGAGGUAAAGGCUCACCAAGGCUAUGACGGGUAUCCGGCCUGAGAGGGUGAACGGACACACUGGAACUGAGACACGGUCCAGACUCCUACGGGAGGCAGCAGUAGGGAAUAUUGCUCAAUGGGCGCAAGCCUGAAGCAGCAACGCCGCGUGGAGGAUGAAGGUUUUAGGAUUGUAAACUCCUUUUGUCAGAGAAGAUCAUGACGGUAUCUCACGAAU
rnacentral:rRNA from 1 species